GCUCCGUUGGUGCAAUGGCUAGCAUCUCGGUCCUUCAAACCGAAGACGACGGAUCGAAACCGUCACGGAGUACCA
rnacentral:tRNA from 1 species